rnacentral:lncRNA from 1 species
CCAACAUCCCACUACCACCGACCAUUUCAUUCUCGACAGUGACCUAGCUGCAGCGACGCAAACUGAGCGUCGACUUUGGACCAAUUAUUGUUCAUAUUUGAAAUCAUGGUCCUAAUCCUGGUUUCAAAUCUCAGAUGCUGUACAAGGAGUGUGAGGCGGCAACAAUGAUUCGUUAUGAAUAGAUGCGAUCUGCCACGUUGAACCUACUCUUAACCUCCGCG